rnacentral:rRNA from 1 species
GAUGAACGCUGGCGGCGUGCCUAAUACAUGCAAGUCGAGCGAACGGACGAGAAGCUUGCUUCUCUGAUGUUAGCGGCGGACGGGUGAGUAACACGUGGAUAACCUACCUAUAAGACUGGGAUAACUUCGGGAAACCGUAGCUAAUACCGGAUAAUAUUUUGAACCGCAUGGUUCAAAAGUGAAAGACGGUCUUGCUGUCACUUAUAGAUGGAUCCGCGCUGCAUUAGCUAGUUGGUAAGGUAACGGCUUACCAAGGCAACGAUGCAUAGCCGACCUGAGAGGGUGAUCGGCCACACUGGAACUGAGACACGGUCCAGACUCCUACGGGAGGCAGCAGUAGGGAAUAUUCCGCAAAGGGCGAAAGCCUGACGGAGCAACGCCGCGUGAGUGAUGAAGGUCUUCGGAUCGUAAAACUCUGUUAUUAGGGAAGAACAUAUGUGUAAGUAACUGUGCACAUCUUGACGGUACCUAAUCAGAAAGCCACGGCUAACUACGUG